GGCGAUGUGACACAUCUGUCCGCUGCUCUGGCAGCGCCUGGGCGGCCCUGAAAGCAGAUCGGCCGCUCAGGACCUCUCCUGGGUGUACUGACAGCGGCAUUCACAGCGCUGCCCGGUCCCUGGAGGCAUCCAAGCAGCCAAAGCAUUUGCUCUCAAAGUGACGAUCCAGUUUACAGCCGAAGCGGUUCUGCAUCCCCUUGCCGGACUUCCUCUCGUGAUCUGCUUCACUUCCGCACGCACGCACAGCCACAGCAAUGGCUGGUGGGGUGCCUGCCUGCAUCGUGCCUUGAUGAAAGGCCUGGGGACGGCAGGUGGUCUAUAGAAAAGCAUAGCGAGAGCUGCUAUUCUGCUGGCCUGACGGCAGUAGGAAGCAGCAACAUUUAGUGGAAUUAAAGGGCGGAAAAUUCAAAGCCAAAUGCAAAUGCACACCUAUUACGCCCAGUGAAAUCAGCCCAGAGGACUCGUUGCCACAGGAAGUUGUUUCUGGGACCAAAAGUUCUCUGAGAUGCAAAGGAAGGCUGAGUAAACCUAGAAAACAGCUACUGCUUCCAGCAGAGGAACCCAUGGUCUGCAGGAGAAGCAUAGAAGCUUUAGAGCCCGGGGGCUGUUUGUUCCCUCGGCACUGGAAGGACCUGUACGUGGCAGAGAUCCCCGGGCUGAUCUAUGGAUCCAUAUCCAAAACCGGCUCAUCAGCACUUCACAUAUUAGCUGCUGCAAUCAGAUCGUGGUGCUGCAGCUUCAUCAGAUAAUUCCCAAUUAUAAUAAGAAAUGUUGCUGCUCAGCUGAACUUACUGGCCCAGCUAAAGUAGCUUAAUUAAAGCCACU
rnacentral:lncRNA from 1 species